rnacentral:rRNA from 1 species
GAUGAACGCUGGCGGCGUGCCUAAUACAUGCAAUUCUAUCGAAGCGGGGCCGGGUGAGUAACACGUGGAUAACCUCCUAUAAGACUGGGAUAACUUCGGUAAACCGGUGCUAAACCGGAUACUUAUAUCUGGUUCCGCGCUGCAUUAGCUAUUUGGUAAGGUAACGGCUUACAAAGGCAACGAUGCAUAGCCGACCUGAGAGGGGGAGAGGCCACAAUGGGACUGAGACAUGGUCCAGACUCCUACGGGAGGCAGCAGUAGGGAAUCUUACGCAAUGGGCGAAAGCCUGACGAAGCAACGCCGCGUGAGUGAUGAAGGUCUUCGGCUCGUCAAACUCUGUUAUUAGAGAAGCGGUACCUAAUCAGAAAGCCAAGGCUAACUAAGUGCCAGCAGCCGCGGUAAUAC